rnacentral:rRNA from 1 species
CCUCCGCUGCACACCCUUAACCGCACCCUCGAUCAUGCGGUUCACCGCGGCCAACGAAAGCCCAUCCGGAUCGUUGCCCGGAAUCGUCGCGAAGCCGAUGGCCGACGCCGUCGGGUAGCGCGCGAAGAUCUGCUCGAAGAGCGCCGCCAACUCCUGACUCGACGGACCGCCCGGGACCUUGUUGCCGUGGCCCGGCACCUCGCUGGGAUCGAGCACAUCCAUGUCGAUAUGUAUGUAGAGCCGGUCU